GGGGGGGGGUGUUCAUAUUCAGUGAACUUGUGUGCGUGCUAGAAGGGCGCGCGAGAUUCAGUGAAUUGGGAAUAGGGUCGGUCCUCCUGGAGGAACAUGGGACUGGAUUCUUCCAGCUGGAUGGAGGCUGCUGUCAGUAACUCCAAAGACCUGAAGCUCACCUGAGACACAAAGCCACAUCUUCCCUGAGUGGACUUUGAUCUCCAUGUAAACAUGGAGACUAAUGUUGAUCAAUGAGAUACACAAAGAGACUCACAGCGAGCAGAGCGGGGAGCAGAAGUCGUCCUCUGAGCGUCACCUGCAGCCCUCUGGAGGCCGGCAGGUUGAGUUCGCACAGGACCACCAGGCUCCCACUGUUACUGAGGUUCUACACGGACAGAGGAGGAAGAGCUCAGCUGUCUCUCUGAGGCGAUGAACCUGAGACCCGUUCUGUGUGAGACGUCUUACCAGCUGAGACAGGCUGGAGAAGAGGAGGUUGGAGGAGGCGGAUAUGUUGAUGAAGGCUCCGUAAGCGUUCUCUCCCUGAUUCUCCAGUCGGACGGACACC